rnacentral:rRNA from 1 species
AUAGGGAGGUCCUUUUCGGGCAAAAUAUUAUAUUUUUCUUCGCCCCUUGGCGGGGAAUAUAAAAGCCUUGUACGAUGGAUGAUAAGAACUAAUCAUAAGGAUAUUGGAAGUUUGUAUCUUAUUGUUGGAUUUUGAGCAGGAUUAGUAGGUUUAGUGUUUAGAGUGAUAAUACGUACGGAGUUAAUACAUCCAGGUCCUUUUUAUGGGGCUUCUAUUUAUAAUGUCUUAGUGACUACACAUGGGUUGUUUAUGAUUUUCUUUAUAGUAAUGCCUUUAAUGUUAGGAUUUUUUGGUAAUUGAUUAAUUCCAAUUUUAUUGGCGGUACCUGAUAUGUGCUUUGCACGAUUAAACAAUCUAAGAUUUUGAUUAUUACCUCCUGCUAUUGCUAUAGUAUUAAUAUCUAAUACUAUUGAAGAAGGGGUAGGGACAGGAUGGACAUUAUAUCCUCCUCUUGCUGCUUGGGCAGGGCACCCAGCUCCUGCUAUAGAGUUUAUAAUUUUAGGCUUACAUAUUGCGGGUAUAUCUUCAAUUUUUGGGGCUAUUAAUUUCGCUAGAACAGGUGCUAACAUGCGUCCAGAGGGUAUUGCGCCUCAGCGUGCUACUCUUUUUGUGGGUUCAGUAUUUAUUACUUCUUUUUUAUUAAUUGUUGCUAUACCUGUGUUAGCAGCUGGUUUAACUAUACUUUUAACUGAUCGAAGAUUUAAUACUUCAUUUUUUGACCCAGUAGGAGGAGGGGAUCCAGUUUUGUUUAUUCAUUUGUUUUGAUUUUUUGGGCAUCCUGAAGUAUAUAUUUUAAUUUUACCAGGAUUUGGAAUAAUUUCACAUGCUACUGCGGUGUAUAGUGGUAAGAAGGGUGCAUUUGGGGUGUUAGGAAUAGUUCAUGCAAUAAUUAGGAUUGGUAUCUUAGGGUUUUUAGUAUGGGGGCAUCAUAUAUUUACAGUAGGUAUUAAUAUCGAUAGUCGAGCUUAUUUUAGAGGAAUUACUAUAGUUAUUGCUGUUCCUACAGGUGUAAAGGUAUUUAGAUGGCUAGGUACUAUUACUGGAGGUGUAGUUCGUAAGAGGGCUAGAAUGGUGUGGGCUUUAGGAUUUCUAUUUUUAUUCACAUUUGGUGGUUUAACUGGUAUUAUUUUAUCUAGUGCUUCAUUGGACGUAGUGCUUCAUGAUAGAUAUUAUGUAGUAGGCCAUUUUCAUUAUGUGUUAAGUAUGGGUGCAGUUUUUGCUAUUUUUUGUGGGUUUCAUCAUUGGUUCCCUAUAAUAAGGGGAAUUGGUUUACAUCCAGUAUGAAGGAAGGGACAUUUUAGAGGAAUAUUUAUAGGUGUAAAUGCCACAUUUUUUCCUCAUCAUAUUUUAGGGUUGGCUGGAAUACCGCGGCGUUAUUCAGAUUAUCCUUAUUGUUUUAAGAAGUGGCAUAGAGUUUCUAGUUGGGGAGCCUUUGGUGAUUAUGUGGCCACUUGAUUUUUCUUAUUUAUUUUGUGGGAAGGUAUCAUCUCACGUCGGCCCUUAAUUUUUGCUGCCGCACGAGGGACCUUUUUAGAGUAUGCUCAACAUCCCUUGCCUCAUGCGCAUCAUAAUUGGCGUCAAAACCCUUUGAUUUAUGCUUUUCCUAAGGGUAGUCAUUAUAAGGUUAAUGGAUAUGUUCGAACAGUUAAGAUGAAGGAUGGUGGCGAAGUAAUAAGGAGAAAUCCUGCUUUCUAUAGAGAUCAAAAUUUUAUAGAUCGUGGUUGAGGUUGAAGAAAUACUAAGGUUGAAGUGCAAUAAAGUAUUUAUUGAAUAUGAAGAGGUUAUUGGCUACUUAUCGUAGUGUCAGAAAGUUUAAGGUAGAGCCCAUGGGGUUAAUCCUUCUAGGGUUAAGGGCUAUAAUAAUUGCUUCCGUUAGGUCUUAUCAGACUUAUGUAGAUAGUGUUAUUAUGAAGACUAGUUGGUGGAUAUCGGACUCUUUAAGAGUUGUUUUAAUUAGCCUUACUAUUAUUGUAACCAUAAUCAGAUUACUAUGUAGAGAUGAAGAUUUUAGGUUAAAUAAGAGGUUAACCACAUUUAGGUUAUGUGUGUGUAGAAUUACAUUUUGUUGUAUUAUGUUUUUUAUUAGGUGUAACUUAAUAGUGUUUUAUUUCUUUUUUGAGAGUAGUCUAAUUCCUACUACAAUUUUGAUUUUAGGCUGAGGGCAUCAGCCUGAGCGACUACAAGCAGGAAUACAAAUAGUUUUAUAUACCGUUUAUGGUUCACUACCUAUAUUAGUGUUAUUCAGUUUUGUUUGAUUAGGAAGAGGUACUAGUAAUAUAGUUAUAUUAGCUCUUCUGCAUGAGAGAUUUCUUCCUAAGGUUUCUAUUGUAUGGUUCUUUCUUUUUAUUGGAAUAUUAGUAAAAAUUCCUGUAUUUUUGGUACAUGGCUGAUUACCAAAGGCCCAUGUAGAGGCGCCUGUGAGUGGGUCAAUAGUUUUGGCAGGAGUUUUACUGAAGAUAGGUCUCUAUGGAGUUUGUCGUGUGAUUUGAAGGUUUGGGUGUCCUCCAGCUAAUAUUUCUUUUAUAUUUAUAACAAUUGCAUUAUGGGGUGGGGUUUUGUGUUCUUUUAUGUGCCUUUGUUUUCAUGAUCUUAAGUCUGUUAUUGCCUAUUCAUCAAUUGCACAUAUAUCUAUAGCUUUAAGUGGUAUUUUGACUAUAAGUAAUGUUGGAUGAAUGAGAGGGAUUUGCAUAGGGGUUGUACAUGGGUUAUGUUCUCCUUGUAUAUUUGCUUUGGCAAAUUAUACAUAUAGGCUUACAGGUUCCCGUAGAACAAUAAUAUGUAAGGGAGUACUAAAGGUUGCCCCAAUUUUAAGAAGUAUAUGGUUUAUUUUUUGUAUUAUUAAUAUAGGUUGUCCGCCUACUCCUAAUUUCUAUAGGGAGUGUCUUCUGUUUUCUAGAAUUAGAGGUUUUAGUAGUGUGCUUUAUCUGCCUCUUUACUUUAUAUGUUUCCUUGCCGCAGCAUUUUCUUUAUUUAUUUAUGCCUCAGUAAACCACGGGUAUCAGGGAGUUAUAGUGCGCCCAAGUAGAGGCUUAAGAGUGCGGUUUUUAAUUUCCAUGUCUGUUAGUGGUUUAUUUUUAAUUAGGAUGUUUUUAUUUUUAGAUAUAGUAUUUUUAUAAGCAGGUGUGGAAGUAGUUUAUUAAAAAUGUUGCUUUGUGGACGCAAAGAUAAGCUUACAGUUUCUUUCAUAGAUCUUUGCUGGGCAGUGUUAGCUUUGAAAGCUUACUAAAGGCGUUCGAAUCGUCUAUAGGUCUGUCCUUAUGGUGUAAUUAACACGUUAGGUUUUCAACCUAAAGAUAAAGUACUAUGCUUUUAAGAACUGUGAAUAAUGUGGGAGCAGGAGUAAUUUUUUUAGUAGGCCUAUUUAUGAUUAGUUGGGGCUUGGUUUUAGUGGGGCUGGUUUUGAGUAAGAAGAUGCGUUUUAAUCGUGAAAAGAUAAGCACGUUUGAAUGUGGAUUUGAGCCCCUAAGGAGUGCACGUCAGGCAUUUUGCUUACGAUUUUUUCUAUUGGCAAUUAUUUUUGUAGUAUUUGAUGUAGAAAUAGCUUUAUUGAUUCCUUAUAUACUUACUAUUGGAGAAUUUAUGGCGAGGAGCACACGGGUUUACGUAUUUAUCUUUGUUGGAGUGUUAUUAGUAGGUUUAUUACAUGAAUAUAAUGAAGGAUCAUUAGAUUGAGCUGUGUAGAACUUGUUUUAGUAGCUUAAUAAAGCAUAUGACUCUUAAUCAUAGGAUGUAGAUGAAUUCUCUACCUAAGACUAUGUAUUCAUAUAUUGCAUUGAUUUUAAUAGGAGUGGGUGUAUGAUUAAUUUUGGAUCAAAAGUAUCAUUUCUUAAGAGUUUUAUUAGCUAUAGAAAUUUUAACUUUAAGUGUUAUUUUUUUAUGUGCAUCAUUUUUGGGUAUAGGGUUUAAUUUAUCAGGAAUUAAUUUUAGACUUUUAUUUAUAGUGCAUGUUGUAAUUGAGGUGGCUAGAGGGUUAGCACUCUUAGUUAGGCGUACGCGUGCUACAGGUACAGAUAAGUUGUCUAAUAUUUUUAGCUCUCGAUUUUAAUGGGCGACGGCUGUUGAAGUGGUGAGUUGUAGCCUCAUUUAUGGGGAUAAUAUCCUCUCUCCCGGCUAUAUAGCUUAAUUAGAGCAGUGGUUUUGUAAUCCUCAGGUACGUAGAAAUGUUAUAGCCUAUUGUGGUAGUAGAAGAAAAUAUAUAAGGCUUAGGACCUUAGGAUGGGAGAUGUUCCCCACAAUGAAGAGGUAGUUUAUAAAAAUAUUAGGUUGUCAGCCUAAAGAUGCCUAUUAGCAGGUCCUGUUCUCUCAGGGUAGUAGAAUUAAAUACGUCGGAGUUAAGGCCCGAAAAUGGGUUAUAACCCUCUUGAGAAUGAUGGUUCAAGGAAUUACCUGUGUUGUGACAUUUUUUAUUAUUUUAUUGGGAGUAGCUUACUUUGUAGUUACUGAGCGUAAGGUGCUAGGAAUAAUCCAACGUCGACACGGUCCAAAUAAGCCAAGGCUUGUGGGGCUACUUUUGCCUAUUGCGGAUGGGGUAAAGCUUCUUGCAAAGGAGUGAAUUGUUCCUACUGCGGCAAACCAGGGUUUGUAUUUAUUAGGUCCUGUUUUCUUUUUUUUCUUCUCUUAUGGGUUAUGAUUAGUUUAUCCGGUAGGAAAUCCAAUAAUUUAUUUUAAGUUGAGGGUAUUAUAUUUUUUAUGUAUAUCUAGUGUAAAAGUUUUUGGGGUAAUUAUAUGCGGGUGAAGAUCUAAUUGUCAAUAUGGGUUGUUAGGGGCUGUUCGGGCUGCUUCGCAAAGAAUUUCAUAUGAAAUUGGAUUUAAUACUCUUCUUUAUUGCCCUCUGCUGUAUAUUGGAACAUAUGAACUCUAUGAAGUGCGGUUGUUCAAUGGGUUAUUUAUUUUAAUUAGAGUUGAAGUAUUUUUAAUAUGGUUUAUUUGUGCUCUAGCAGAAACAAAUCGAACACCUUUUGAUUUUGUUGAAGGGGAGUCAGAACUGGUUUCUGGUUAUAUAGUGGAGUAUGGGGGAUUUGGCUUUACAUUACUAGUAUUAGCAGAGUACGGGAGAAUUAUUUUUAUAAGUAUGAUUACGGCUGUAUUGUUUUUUAGGGUAUGCAGAGAGGUGCUGUUGCUAGGAGAUAUAAUAAUAGUGGUAAUCAGAGUAGUUAUUAGAUAUAUAUUUAUCGUAAUUCGUGGGGCUUUUCCACGUUAUCGAUAUGAUAAGUUAAUGGAACUCUGUUGAAAGGUAAUUUUACCUAUAUCCUUGUCUCUUUUUAUACUAUUUAUAGCUACAGGAGUUUAAAAUAAGCUUUAUUUUAAAUAGAAUUUCUAGUUGUUACCUAGAAGGUACAAAUAUUUGUAGGCUUAGAAUGUUAAGAUUUAAGAAGGUGUUUGUAUUUGCUAAUAGGUUGGUAUGUGUGCUGUUUUGGUGUUUUUAUUUAGGACAAAAGUUUUUAUUUAUAAGGAGAGUAGUGGUAGAAUUUGAAGUUUUACGUGGAACUCCAUUGUUGGUGAGAGUUCCAAUUAUAAUAGAUACCCUUAGAAUAUCUUUUUGUUGCGUGGUAUUACUUAUCUCUAGGUGUGUAAUAUUAUAUAGAGGGUUUUAUAUAAGUGAUGAGCAGUAUUAUAACCGGUUUUGUAAGUUAGUAUUGUUGUUCGUAGCUUCAAUAUUGGCUUUAACAUUAAUUCCUAAUUUAAUUGGGUUAAUAAUUGGAUGGGAUGGGUUAGGGUUAAGGUCUUAUUUGUUAGUAGUAUACUAUCAGGAUAAACGUUCACUUGGGGCAGGAACUUUAACUGUCCUCAGAAAUCGUAUUGGGGAUGUUAUGUUUUUUAUAGGAAUUAGGUUGGUUAGAGGAAUUUCGGCGUGGAAUUUCGUGGAUAUACAGGAUAUAAGGUACAUAACAGUUUUAGUAGGUAUUAUUAUUGUAGGGUGUAUGACUAAGAGGGCUCAAAUACCUUUUUCUGCUUGAUUACCUGCGGCUAUAUCAGCUCCAACUCCAGUCUCGGCUUUAGUACAUUCUUCUACUUUAGUAACAGCGGGGAUUUAUGUGUUAGUUCGGUUCUCAGUGCAUAUUGAUGGAGUGUGAUUUUUAAUUCUUAGGAGAGUAGCUAGGCUUACUAUAAUUAGUUCAUCAGUUAGUGCAUUUUAUGAGCUAGAUAUAAAAAAAGUAGUAGCUUUAUCUACUUUGAGUCAAUUAAGGGUGAUACUUUUAUCUUUAGGAGUAGGGGCCUAUAGUAUUUGUAUAUUCCAUCUAUUAAGGCAUGCUUUAUUUAAGGCAUUAAUAUUUUUAUGUGUUGGGAGGGUUAUUCAUGUUAGGGGAAUUCAGGAUAUUCGCUAUGUAGGAGGGGUAGGGAAGAUCAGUCCUAUUGUAGCAGCAUGGUUAUUUGUUGCGUUAUUUUCUUUAAUAGGACUGCCUUUUUUGGCAGGAUUUUAUUCUAAGGAUAUAGUUCUAGCUGCGUAUUUAUCGGGAUUAUGCAACCCUUUACAGUUGGUUUUAGUGUGUAUUUCCACAUGUUUAAGGGUUAUAUACAGGUUUUGAUUGUUAGCAUGUAUUUAUCCAGCACGCAUAUAUAUAAGAUAUAUGUGAGGCUUAGGAAAUGAUCUAUAUACUAGAGUAGCUUGUAGAGUGUUAGGAUUAGGGGCUUUGUUUGGCGGUGUAAUUAUACAAAGGGUGAUUUUAAGGUUUUCCGAUGAGUGUAGAGUAGAUACUCAAUUAAAGUUAAUACCUUUUGUAUGUUUUAUAUUAGGACUAUUAGCUAUAAUAUAUAUUAUUACAUCUAGGUUAGAAGAAUUAUUUAGGGUAAAUAAGUUCAGGGAGUUGAGAAAAGAUAGGUCUACUCAAGCAUACUAUGAUAGGUGAGCAACUUUAUGGUUUUUGCCUUAUUUAAGUGCUGGUUUAUAUAUUAAUAGAGUAAUAAGAUCUAGAGCGAGGCUUAAAAGUGAUGUAGAAGAUGGUUAUAUGGAAAAUAGAUUUGGCAGCGAAGGAAUUUGAGCUGUUAGAAAGAUUGUUAGAAGGCAGUUUAUACAUAUUCAGCGGGAUCAGUUAUCUAAUCGCAUGGGGACGGCCUUUAUUAAGGGUGUAGUAUUUAUGAUAGUAAUUUUUCUUUUAGGUUACAUAAUAUAGGCUUAAGUGAGUAGUAUAAGAGUAUAUGUAGUUUCGGCCUACAAGGUGAGAUAUUUAUUUCCUCAUUUAAUGAUAUUUGCACCGCGACGUUACAAUAUAGUUUUACGUGUUUUAGCAGGGAGGUUUUACGAUUUACCUUGCCCAAUUAAUCUUAAUAUGUGGUGAAAUUUUGGAUCUAUAAUAGGAGUAUUACUAGUAAUUCAGGUUUUAAGUGGGUUUAUUAUAGCUUGUCAUUAUACUCCACAUGAAAGGUUAGCAUUCUCCUCCGUAGUGCAUAUUAUGCAUGAUGUACACGAAGGAUGAUUAGUGCGUAGAUUACAUAGGAAUGGUGCCUCUUUCUUUUUUAUUUGUGUUUAUGCGCAUAUUGGCCGUGGGAUUUAUUAUCAUUCGUUUACUUUAACACAUACAUGAAGGGUGGGUGUAAGUAUAUAUUUACUCCUUAUAGCUAUUGCUUUUCUAGGUUAUGUAUUACCUUGGGGGCAAAUGUCUUAUUGAGGAGCUACGGUUAUUACAAAUUUGUUUACUGCUAUUCCUUAUGUAGGGCGUGUUAUUACAGAAUGAAUUUGGGGGGGGUAUAGAGUUUGCGAUGCAACCUUAAAGCGAUUUUAUGUAUUGCAUUUAUAUCUUCCGUUUGUGUUAAUAGGAUUAGCCGUAAUUCAUUUAUACUAUUUACAUGAAACAGGGUCUAAUAAUCCUUUAGGGAUUGAUGAUGGGGGAGAUUUAAUCCCAUUUCACCCUUACUAUAGACAUAAGGAUUUUUUGGGAAUCCUUAUCAUAGUAGGAGCUUUGUUGCUUAUUGUUUUAUUUGAACCAGAUUUAUUUGCUAGCCCUGAAAAUUUUAUUCCGGCUAAUCCUUACAAGACUCCCCUCCAUAUUCAGCCGGAGUGAUACUUUCUAUUUGCCUAUACAAUUUUACGUAGAGUGCCUAACAAGGGAGGGGGGGUUGCUGCGCUGGCUGCUUCUGUACUUAUUUUAUAUGCUCUUCCAUUACGUCCUAAGUAUUUCCAUCUAGGGUUAGCAUUUUACCCUGUAUCUCAAGCGUUUUUUUGGCUUUUUGUAAGAAGUUUUAUAAUAUUGACUUUUAUUGGAAUACGACCAGUUCAGGAGCCUUAUAUUUUUAUAGGCCAAGUAAGAAUGGUAAUUUAUUUUAUGUAUUUCCCUCUUCAAGGUGUGCUUGAACGAGGAUGGGAUAUCUUAAUAAGGUACUUACAAUUUAGAAUUUAUGAGGAGGAUUCCUCUCAUUCUGCACAUGAAAAGAGAAAUGUUUUAUUUUAUGAUGGAGGAAAGGAAUUAGAGUGAAAUGAUUUAUAGUGAUAGGGAGUAGCAUAAAUAGUGCGUCUCAUUUACACUGAGAAAGUGGCCUGUAGGUCCUUCCUACUAAUUAGUGAAAUAGGUUGUAAGUUAUUAGACUGUAGGAUUUCAGCACCUAAAGAGGGAAAUUUCUCCCCGGCCUAAUAAAUAGAAAAUGUAUAGCGUGUUUAUGGUUAUAAAACUUAGAUGUUUGUAUGUACCUAUAGUAUAUUGUGUAUAUCCGCCUUCCAAGCGGAUGGUCGGCUGGUGCCGUGGGUAUAAAGUUAUAAUAUUUAUAAAUAAGUGAUUAAACCACCGCGCUCUUCGAUAGCUCUGCGUUAAAUAGAGUGCAAAUGCCAAAAUUUUAGUCGGAAUUUCUAUUUCUUCUAGGUAUGUUUAAAUUUAAUUUGGCCGGGAGGAGAAAAAGGGGUAAGGCAAACUAAAGUUAUAGGUAUAAACCACUAUAAACAAUAAAUUACUGCGAACGGGAAGAAUUUAGAUGGAGAAGAAGGAAUUUUUUUUUUUUUUUAAUAUUAAGGUAGUUUGAAUUAAAUUGAUGAGAUGCUUUUAUUAUUAACGUUGUGAGUGGGGUAUUAAAUACUCCUCUUAGAGAAUAGAUUAAAUGGAAACAAGUGUAAAAUGAGUAAAAUGUAUUAGUUAGAGAUUUUAGGCGUAACAGCUAUAUGUGUAAGAAUCAUAAGUUAUGACAUGAAAAACCAUGGUUAUGACACUAAAAAUCACAAAGUAUAGCGAUUCUUACAUUUUGAAAAAUUUUGAAGAGGUUAUAAAUUAUCUCAAAUAAAGGUCAAGUAAAGACAACACCUACCGUAAGCCACAGAAAGAAAGGUAUAUACUUAUAUACCCCUAUGGGGGGAGGGGGGGCCCGGGGAAAGGGCCCCCCCUCCCCCCAUAGGGGUAUAUAAGUUUAUAUAUAAGAUUAUGUAUAUGAGGGUCCUCCUUCCACUUUUAGCAGAUAUAAGUUGUACACCUUAGGGGGGAAGUACCCGAUGAUAGGGGGGUUCUCCCCUAAGGUGUACAACUUAUAUAUGGAAGAGUGGUAACGAUUUGUACGUAGUUGUGCCGUGUAGCUAUGCUACACUGAGUGAGGGGGAGAGAAAUCCCGAUCAUAUCAAAUGGAGGGUGUAUAUAGGAAUAUAAAUUAUACUUCAGUAUAAUGUUAUAUUGCUGUAUGAUAUGACGUAUAUUGUAUAUACUGUAAUUAUACUAUUAUAAUGGGGAGGUACAUAGAACUCUGGGUGUAUACCCUUAAUAGAGUAUAUAUAUAGCAGUAUAGAUUAUACUUUAUUAUAAUCUAUACUGCUAUAUAUUUGUGUAUUAUAAUCCCUCCUGUAUGUUCUAUACAGGAGGUAUAUAUAGGGAUAUAGCUUAUACCCCAGUAUAAGUCUAUAUUCCUAUAUAUUUGUAUGUUAUGGUGUACAGGUUCAAGGUGUGUUAUAGAGGUGUGGCUUGUGGGUAGGAAGGUGGAUUCUCGCCUGAUUAUAUAUUGUGUGCAGGAGGGGAUAUGUAGGAGUAAUAGAUUAUUUAAAGGUGUAAAACUAUAUAUUUACAUAUUUGCAAUAUUUAUGUAAGCAUUGGAGGUAAUAUACGUCUCUUUGUAUAGGUGUGUAAAUUAAAGGGUAUGAUAAGGUAUUUGGGAUUUAUUUAACUAUUCAUGUAAUUUGUGAAUAAGCAGUUUGAAGGGCAUAAUAUAUUUAUACUUACCUUCUUGUGGAGAGGAUCAGGGGAGGAAUAUCAGCUCCCCUGAUAAAAUUGAAUAAUUUUAUUAUAUAUUUCGCUAUUUGGGGUAUUUUUAUUUUAUAGUUAGAGAUAUUAAGCUUAUACCUUAUUUUAUUUGUAAAAAUUGUAAAAAUUACGGCAAUGGCAAACUUGUUAAAAAAUGAAAAAAUAUUUAAAAUUUAAAAUUAGGUUUAAUAAAAUCUUUUUAAAUGAAAAAUUAGUGGACAUAUGCAAAAAUGUUGGAAAAAGGCUGAUUUUUGAAAAAACGAUAAGGCUCCCCCCUUAUCGAUUAAAAAUAUGGGAUUUUAUUGGUUUUAAUAUGAUAAACUUAGGGUAAAUAAUUUAUAAAAAUUCGACGCCAAAAAUUAGGAGAGUGAGUUUAUUUAAUUCUUUCUAUACAUAGUUGUUUGUUUUGACGAAAUUUGUGAAAAAAAACGAUAAUUUUAUCGAUUUUGGGGUAUUUUUAUUUUAUAGUUAGAGAUAUUAAGCUUAUGCCUUACUUUAUUUGUAAAAAUUGUAAAAAAUUAUGAAAAAAGGCCUUUUUUAUCAAUUCGGGGUAUUUUUAUUUUAUAGUUAGAGAUAUUAAGCUUAUACCUUAUUUUAUUUGUAAAAAUUGUAAAAAAAUUACGGAAAUGAAAUUAUUUAUAAUUAGGGGAAGUUUGUAUUAUUUUAUUGUUUUCUAAAUUAUGUAAUAGUACAUUUAAAUUAUAUAGUUAAAGUUUUACGCGUUUAUAUAACUGCGCGUUAAAUAGGAGGGAUAGAUGAAAAUUUUGGUUGGAUUUUUUUCUUUCCACUGGCAUGCUUAGGCUUAUAAGUGGCGUUAUGCCGGAUAAACGGGCUACUUUGAUGUUGUAGAAAAUUUAGGUGUAAAUCCUUCUGGCGCUUUAUGAUGAUGCAAAAUUUGUCUUUAAGAGAGUCUCAAGAUUGAGAGAGACUUAUUGGCUUAAACCUAGAGUGUCUUCACGAUUAUUUAGCAGUAUUUAUGGUAGGUAUCGUGUUAGGUGUAGGUUUGUUUUUAAUGUUGGUAACUUUAAAGGAUUACGUACGAGGUUUAAGGCUUAUUGUUAGCCGUUGGGUUUAUAGACACGAGCUCACGGAGCUCUUGUGGACUAUUUUUCCUAUAAUUCUUAUUGUUAUUUUAGCGUAUCCUUCUUAUUUAUUGUUAUAUAGAAUAGGGUUAAAUGAUGGUCCUAAGUUUGUUAGUGUUAAGGUAGUUGGGCAUCAAUGGUAUUGAAGGUAUGAGUACACAGCGGAUCCAAAUUGGGUGCUUACUACUAUGGUAGACGAAUCUGCUUAUGAUCUUGGUACAGGAGGUGGUGAGCUUAGGGAUUACACUUAUGCGCCCGAUUCUUCUCGUGUUAUUGGCUAUAGAUCAUAUUGUAUAUGGCCUAAUGAGGAUUCAUAUAAGAAGGCAAUAGAGGCACUUCGAUAUGGGCAGGUAGUAGAUUUUCCUCUAGUUUUACCGGGGGAUAGAGAGGUUGAAGUUUUGGUUACGUCUGCUGAUGUUAUUCAUUGUUGAACUUUAAAUGGUUUAGGAGUAAAGGUGGAUGCUGUGCCAGGGCGUGUUAAUACGGUGCAUUUAUCCAAUUUGCGGCCUGGAACUACAUUAUGAGGGGGGUGUUCCGAGAUAUGUGGGGUAAACCAUUGGCAUAUAUCAACAGAAGUGGAGGUUAUUACUAUGAAGGACUUUGUUUAUUGGCUUUCGUUUAUAUUAUUGACGGAAUAUGAGGAUGAAUGAGCAGUAUAAGAGUUUAUGAAUAUUUAAGAAGUAUAUUAUAUAGUUGUAGUAGGUUUGGUGCGAAGAGUGUUUGGCCCUAGCUCUAGGUUAACUGAAUGUUUAAGUUUAAUACAUGGCACUACAUGGGAUAUCGGGAGGUACAGGCUACAUAAAGUUUAUUUAAAUAGUUUAGGUUAUGGGCCUUUGGGGUUAGCCGUUAGCAUUAUUGCGAGGAUGGUAUAUGUAUUUUCCCUACACCAGUAUAAGAUUUUAGAAAACACGGUAACGUUGAUUUAGGCUGGACAUAACAAAGGAGGUAAAGACAGUGCCAGCACCUGCGGUUAAACUGUUCCUUUUAGUUAAUCUAUACGAAGAGGAGUAAUUAGUUAAAGUAAGAAUAAAACAGUAUAGAACUCCGGUAAAAUGGUAUUUAUAAAGUAUAUCCUUUAAUUCUUGAAACUUAAAACUCGAAAAUCUGUGACAAAGACUGGGAUUAGAGACCCCAUUAUUUAAGACGUAUAUAAAUCUUCGGGGAGUAUGAACAGAUGGUGUUUAAAAACUAAAGGGCUUGGCGGUGCAUUGUAUUCGUCCAGGGGAACUUGACGGUUAAAUCGAUGGUCCUCGAAUUACCUUACCUUUUUAAAUCUUGCUAUACCGCCGUUGACAGUUAGACCUUCUCAUAAAGGUACAAAUUUUUCCGUAGGAAGUGCUAAGUUCACUUAGGAAUUCAGGUAAACGUGGCGGGUAUAAAAAGGGCUUAGUUGAGUUACAAUCUAAUAUGGUCGGAUUUGUAACUGAAAUAGUAUAUAUGAAGAAGGACUUGGUAGUAAGUUGUAGUAAGGGUUUAUAACUGAAUUGUAUAUCGAUGUGCGUACAAACUGCCCGGUGCCCCCGCAUAAUCAAAGUGGGGUAAGCCGUAACAUGGUAAUUUUACUAGAAAGUGGUGUUAUUUAAGUAGGUUAGAAUAUAUUUAGUAAUAAGAGGAAACUAGGGGUAUAAGGAAGCUUCUAACUUCUUUUAUGAGCAGUUCGAGUCUGUUCUUCCUUUAUGUAAAGUAAUUUAAUGGUAGAGUUAUAAAUAUGCCACAGUUUGCUCCUUUGUUUUGAUGUGCUGUUUUAUUUAUUGUAUGAGCUAUAGUGAGGGUAGUAUGUGUGCUUCUCUGAUGGUUGCCUGGAAAGGAGUAUAGCUUUAAGUAUCGGGGGUAGGGUUAAGUAGUUUGUAGUGAUAGUUGUAGUUUUUUGAGGGUGUUAUUCAAUAGUAUUAGUGUCUUUAUUAAUAUGUAGUGUCACUCAUCCUUUAAGGAUAGGUGCUUCUAUUUUAAUUUUAUAUACUAUUAGUAGGGUGGUUGUGUGUUUUGGGGCUAGAUUUGUUGUUGGAGUAUUUUUAUUUUUGACAGGCGUGAGAGGCAUACUGGUAGCGUUUCUUUAUGCUGUAGCGUUAUGCCCUAAUCCUGUGUUCACAACUAAGGUUUAUGACGUUUACCCUCAGGAUAAGUAUUUUAAUGUUAACUGGUGACAAGUGUUGGUAAUAAUCUUCCCUUUAGUUGUUGGACUUUUUAGGUAUAUACGUUCUUUUUAUUUGGAGGGCGGCUAUAUGAGACAUAAGUACCAGUGGAUGCGGGAUCCGGAAAUAGGUGGGGGAUUGACUGAACUGAUACCGUUUAUGGGGGUGUUAUUGUUUUUAUGUGUAGUAAUGGUAGCCUUUAUGUGUAGACACCAAAAGCAAUGUUUAGGUGGGCAUAAGAAGGGUGCUGUAGGUACUAAGCGUAGGUACGACUAGUAGGAAAUAUAAUUUUAAGGUAGUUAUCUGAAUUAGCAUAUAAGGUGUAUUAUUUAAGAUGUCUGUUAGGUAUAUUCUGUUGGGAAUAAGUAAUUAGUAGAAAAGAAUCGUUUAGUUCUGGUACUUUUUGCAUCAUGGCUUAUAGAGUGAGAUAAGUUUGGUUGAUUCCUGAAAGCCCUUGAGCUUUCCUGACUAAAGAGAGAAUUAUAAUGGCCUUAGGGGGAAUAAAAUAUUUUAGGACUUUUAUGAGCAUUUCUAUUAAACUAAUGUUGUAGAAUUAAUUUUAAGGUUAGGAAAGGUGUGAAAUGCUAUUCGUAAGGGUUGGUAGCUGGUUAGAGGGGAAACAUAUAUCAGUAUGGGGCUAAAUAAAUAUUUUUCUUAUAAUAAAGUGAAAAUUGUUUAGUACUUAUGUUAUUGGGUUCCGCUCGGUAAUAUAAAUAGUGAGAAUUAAUUGUUUAGUAGGAUUAGUAGUGUUCAUCUAUAUAAUAUUAGUAUAAAAUAACUAAGUUAAGAAUUUUUAAUUAGGUACCCUUUUACUGUGUAAAAUGUCUAUACAUUUAAUUAGUAUAAGAUUAGUAGAUUAGCGGUUUAAUAAUAUAUCCAUUUACAUGAAAAGUGGAAGUUUAUGAUUUAAGUAGUAGGUAGUAUAUAAACGUGGGUACUACACCACAUUUACAUACUGUUGUAAAAAAUUAUUCUUAAUGAACUCGGCAAAUAUUUUCUGCGCCUGUUUACUAAAAACAUCGCCUCUUGAUUUUUGUUGAAAAGGGGUCUGUCCUGCCCGGUGAGCAAUAGCUUUAACGGUCGCAGUUAAAACUGUGCUAAGGUAGCGCAAUCAAUCGUCCUUUAAUUGGGGAAAGGUAUGAAGGAUUGACGUGGAAAGUCUUUAUUAAGAGUAUAUAUUGAAUUUUACAUCUUGGUGCAAAGGCUAAGAUAAUAUUGUUAGACGAGAAGACCCUAUUGAGCUUGGUAUAAUUCUUAGGUAAGUUUACUUAUUUAAGGGUAGCAUGUUUUUUCGGGAAAGCUAGGGAGGAAAAACUAUGCCUCCCUUUUUAAUAUGCAGAUCCAGCAUGGCUGAUAAAAAGAAGAUAGUUACCAUAGGGAUAACAGCACAAUCGCCCCGACGAGGUCUUAUUUGAGGGGCGGUUUGUAACCUCGAUGUUGAAUUAAGAUUUCUUCUAGGUGUAGCAGCUUAGAAAGUGGGACUGUUCGUCCUUUAAAAUCUUACAUGAUUUGAGUUUAGACCGGCGUGAGCUAGGUCAGUUUCUAUCUACAUGUUAAUUGUCUUUGUACGAAAGGAUCGGACUGUGUAACUAUAAUGUUGUUAAUGAAUUUAUAAUAUUAAUGCAGAGGUAAACUAUAUAGGUUAACGGGCUCAUGCCCCGGAUGAGGGUGUAUCACCCCCUUUGUUUAUGUUUGCUGAUGCAUUUUCGUGUUUUGAUUAUGGUAGUGGUUUAGAGUUGGUUAUAUAUGUAAGAUGGUUUAGAGGAUUUAUCUCAUUGUGUUUUGUACUAAGUAAUAGUGAUUACUGAAUAGUUAACAAUAGGUUUAGGUUAAGAAUAAAGUUAUUUUCUCGUUGAGUGGAUACUAGAAUAGGUUCUAUUAGAGGGGGAAUUUAUGGGCGAAGGCUUUUUAUUACAGGGUUAGGCACCUAUUUGGCUUAUGUGUCUUGUUUUAGUAGGUUUCCCUAUGUAUUUUGUGUGACGGCUCAUUUUUCUCAUAAUUUAGCUUUAUCUUUGGUUUUAUGAUUUACUGUUGUUUUUAUAAGGGGGGCUAUUAGUAUAACAGGGGUAAUGAGGCAUAGAGUUCCUGAUGGUCUCCCGUGAUUUACAGGAUGAGCUAUUAGGUUGUUAGAGCUUUUUAGGAACUUAAUUCGUAGUUUAACUUUAGGUGCCCGAUUAAGUAUAAAUAUAAUCGCAGGUAAGUUUUUAUUAAUAUUAGGAAGGAGGGUUAUAAGGGCUUUUCUUUUUAGUAGAGGGUUAAUAGGGUUGUGUAGAGUAAGAGGCUUAUGUAGUACUAUUGUGUUAUUGAUUUUUAUUACUUGAGAAUUGGCAGUAAAUAUUUUGCAGGCUAGAAUUUUUGGGUUUCUUUUAGGAUAAAGUAUAGGGAGGAGAUUCCUUUGAGGAGCCGUAAGGUUGUUUUAAAGAGGUAGCUGUUAAUAUAGCAAAAAUUAUGGUUUAGUGGGUGAAAGUUCGGUUUUAUUAUGUAUAUAUAGGUGGGGAUAUGUAUAUAUGUAUACGUAUAUUUAUAUUUGGUCUAUGUGAUAGUAAAGGUUUUUAUAAAUGAAGACUUAAAGAGUUUAAGUCGAAGGAUAGCAACUUUAAGGAGGCCUCGUAUCCCACGAACAGGAUACCACUUAGUUGACCCAAGGCCGUGGCCUAUUAUAAUUAGUGCUGGGGUAGUUAAUCAGGCUGCAGGGUUUAUUAGUUUGGUUCAUGGAGGGGCCUUUACUAAGGUUAAUUUUAUAUGUGCAGGGUUUUUAUUAGGUAGAUCUUUUUAUUCAUGAAUAAUAGAUAUCAUUACAGAGGCAACAUAUCUAGGAUGCCAUACUUCAAUUGUGGCACGAGGAUUAAAGAUUGGUUUUGUUUUUUUCUUGUGUUCAGAAGCCUUCUUUUUUGUAGGAUUUUUUUGAGCGUGGUUUCAUUCGGGAUUAGGUUGUUUAGCAGAAGGUGAUAGUUGACCUCCUUAUCCAAUUAUUCCUGUAAGGCCUCAUGGUGCGCCUUUUUUUAAUACCAUAUUGUUAAUUGUUUCUGGGGGUUUGGUAAAUUGAGCACAUCGUGCUAUUGUACUUCAUGCCCGUGAGGCAGCUAUAUUGCCUUUAGGAUUAUGUGUCUUAGCAGGGGCAUUAUUUUUACGAUUUCAGUAUUUGGAAUAUUAUGCUGCUUCAUUUUCUAUUGCUGAUAGGGCUUAUGGAAGAUGUUUUUACAUAUUAACUGGUUUGCAUGGAGCGCAUGUCUUAGGGGGGACGUUAUUUUUAGCUGCAAUAUGGGUUCGAAAUUAUUGUUGCCAUUUUGUAAAGGGGCAUCGGUGUUUAGGUAUGACAUUUGCCACUUGGUACUGGCAUUUUGUAGAUGUAGUAUGGAUUUUAGUUUUUGCAUGGGCUUAUGUGUGGCCUUAUAUAAAUUUUAAGGACGGUAAGUUAUUAUGAUUUUUGUAGUUAGUAUUAAGUAAUUUAUUUUAUGCCAUGGGGACUUUUAUUAGCACCAUCAUUUAUUGUUUUUAUAGGGUUGUCUUUGUUAGGUUUAUUAUCAGUGUUUUUGAGUGGUGGUAUCUUUGGGGUAUGGUUUUCUUUAGAGUUAAUAUUUUUUGGGUUUAUUCCUAUUUUGAACGGGAAGACAGUUAGUGAGAAUGAAAGAACUAUUAAGUAUUUUGUAGUACAAAGGAUUAGAUCAAGUAUUUUAUUAGUGGGGUUUUUACUUAUUAUCGGGGAUUAUUCAACUAUAAGAUACAAUCAGUGGUGGAGGAUAUUGGGGGAAGUUGUAGUACUUUUAGGAUUUAUUUUGAAGGUGGGAGUAUUCCCUAUGCAUUUUUGAUUUCCUGGAGUUAUAGGGGGUAUCUCUUGAUUUAGUUGUUUUUGGUUGAGGGUUGCCCAAAAGAUUGGUCCAUUGUGAGCGAUCUCAGGAUUGGGAAUAAGUAGUAAUAUAAUAAAUUUAUUUUGUUUUUUAUUAGUGGCGACAUCGGUGGUGGGAGCCCUCGGGGGGUUUGCACAAGUUCAAUUUCGUCCUUUAUUGGCUUAUUCCUCAUUAGGGCAGAGAGGAUGGAUAGGGCUUAUUUGUCUUUUAAAUUUAAAGGUGUUUAUAUUUUAUAUAACUAUUUAUAGGAUUAUUUUAGGGGGGCUAAUUUGUAGACUUCAUAUAGGAAAUGCCUAUCGUUUGGUUGAGGUACCUGGGUGAAGUGAUAAAAUUACUAGUAGUUUUUGAAUAAUUAGAGGGGGAUUUUUUUUAUCUUUAGGAGGAUUGCCUCCACUAUUAGGUUCUUCCUUAAAGAUAGUUGGGGUAUUGACAAUUAUUAGUAGGUAUCCUGGAUAUUUAUUUAUUUUAAUUGGUUGUGCAAUAUUUAGAUUAUACUAUUAUUUAAGUGUAUUCAUUAGCUGUAUAGUGUGUGUGGGUGUAGGUAGGUCGUCGAUUAUUGAUGGUAUAGUAUUUAGACAGUUAGGUGCCUUACCUUUAAGUCUAAUAAUAGUGCUAAAUUGGUUAGGGGGUCUGCCAGCUUUUUUAGUUUGUAGUAGGUUAGUUGUUUCAGGUUGUAGUUUAUAAAAAAUUAAAGCUUUGGGAGCGUUAGAUCUCGUGUUCGGGUAACCUGAUGUGCAGAAAAGUGUAUUGGCACAUAAAUUUUUGGAAUUUAUAGAGAUGGGUUAGUCCAUCUUUUGCAGGCUUUGUAGUUUAAAAAAAACUUUAAGUUGCAGCCUUAAUGAUGGAGAAUUCCCAAAGCCUUAGCGUAGUACUUUAAGUUAAAAGAUUGGUUUUGCAUGCUAACAUUGGGAAAUUAUUCCCUUACGCUGUUCGAAUAGUUUAAACUUAGAAAAAUUCAGCACUGAAGAUGCUGGG